GAUGAACGCUAGCGGCAGGCUUAAUACAUGCAAGUCGAGGGGCAGCAUGGUGUAGCAAUACACUGAUGGCGACCGGCAAACGGGUGCGGAACACGUACAGAACCUUCCUUCGAGCGGGGAAUAGCCCAGAGAAAUUUGGAUUAAUACCCCAUAGUAUAGCGGAGAGGCAUCUCUCUGUUAUUAAAGAUUUAUCACUUGAAGAUGGCUGUGCGGCUGAUUAGGUAGUUGGCGGGGUAACGGCCCACCAAGCCUGCGAUCAGUAACUGGUGUGAGAGCACGACCAGUCACACGGGCACUGAGACACGGGCCCGACUCCCACGGGAGGCAGCAGUAGGGAAUAUUGGUCAAUGGACGAAAGUCUGAACCAGCCAUGCCGCGUGGAGGAUGAAGGUCCUCUGGAUUGUAAACUUCUUUAUAUGGGACGAAAAAGGUCUUUCUAGAUCGUCUGACGGUACCAUAUGAAUAAGCACCGGCUAACUCCGUGCCAGCAGCCG
rnacentral:rRNA from 1 species